UACGAGGGGGGCGAGCGUUGUUCGGAAUUAUUGGGCGUAAAGGGUGCGUAGGCGGCCUGACAAGUCUGAUGUGAAAUCCCUGGGCUCAACCCAGGGCCUGCAUCGGAAACUGUCGGGCUUGAGUAUGGGAGAGGUGAGUGGAAUUUCCGGUGUAGCGGUGAAAUGCGUAGAUAUGCGGAGGAACACCGAUGGCGAAGGCAAUCCCCUGGGCCUGCACUGACGCUCAUGCACGAAAGCGUGGGGAGCAAACAGG
rnacentral:rRNA from 1 species